rnacentral:tRNA from 1 species
GGUGGCUCAGUGGUAGAGCGCUUGCCUUGCACGCCUGAGGCCCUGGGUUCGAUUCCCCAGCACCA